AUUGAACGCUGGCGGCAAGCCUUACACAUGCAAGUCGAACGGCAGCACGGGUGCUUGCACCUGGUGGCGAGUGGCGAACGGGUGAGUAAUGUAUCGGAACGUACCUUUCAGUGGGGGAUAACUAUCCGAAAGGAUAGCUAAUACCGCAUAUUCUGUGAGCAGGAAAGCAGGGGAUCGCAAGACCUUGCGCUGAUUGAGCGGCCGAUAUCAGAUUAGCUAGUUGGUGGGGUAAAGGCCUACCAAGGCUACGAUCUGUAGCGGGUCUGAGAGGAUGAUCCGCCACACUGGAACUGAGACACGGUCCAGACUCCUACGGGAGGCAGCAGUGGGGAAUUUUGGACAAUGGGGGCAACCCUGAUCCAGCCAUGCCGCGUGAGUGAAGAAGGCCUUCGGGUUGUAAAGCUCUUUCAGCCGGGAAGAAAUCGCGCAGGCUAAUAUCCUGUGCGGAUGACGGUACCGGAAUAAGAAGCACCGGCUAACUACGUGCCAGCCGCCGCCGUAAUAC
rnacentral:rRNA from 1 species